GACGUAGGGCGCGAGCGUUGUCCGGAUUUAUUGGGCGUAAAGAGCUCGUAGGCGGCUCGUCGCGUCGUCCGUGAAAACCUGCGGCUCAACUGCAGGCUGGCGGUCGAUACGGGCAGGCUGGAGUUCGGUAGGGGAGACUGGAAUUCCUGGUGUAGCGGUGAAAUGCGCAGAUAUCAGGAGGCACACCGGUGGCGAAGGCGGGUCUCUGGGCCGAUACUGACGCUGAGGAGCGAAAGCGUGGGGAGCGAACAGG
rnacentral:rRNA from 1 species